rnacentral:rRNA from 1 species
AUUGAACGCUGGCGGCAGGCCUAACACAUGCAAGUCGAGCGGAUGAAGGGAGCUUGCUCCUGGAUUCAGCGGCGGACGGGUGAGUAAUGCCUAGGAAUCUGCCUGGUAGUGGGGGAUAACGUCCGGAAACGGGCGCUAAUACCGCAUACGUCCUGAGGGAGAAAGUGGGGGAUCUUCGGACCUCACGCUAUCAGAUGAGCCUAGGUCGGAUUAGCUAGUUGGUGGGGUAAAGGCCUACCAAGGCGACGAUCCGUAACUGGUCUGAGAGGACGAUCAGUCACACUGGAACUGAGACACGGUCCAGACUCCUACGGGAGGCAGCAGUGGGGAAUAUUGGACAAUGGGCGAAAGCCUGAUCCAGCCAUGCCGCGUGUGUGAAGAAGGUCUUCGGAUUGUAAAGCACUUUAAGUUGGGAGGAAGAGCAGUAAGUUAAUACCUUGCUGUUUUGACGUUACCAACAGAAUAAGCACCGGCUAACUUCGUG